AGUGAACGCUGGCGGUAGGCCUAACACAUGCAAGUCGAACGGCAGCACAGUAAGAGCUUGCUCUUGCGGGUGGCGAGUGGCGGACGGGUGAGGAAUACAUCGCAAUCUACUUUUUCGUGGGGGAUAACGUAGGGAAACUUACGCUAAUACCGCAUACGACCUACGGGUGAAAGCAGGGGAUCUUCGGACCUUGCGCGAUUGAAUGAGCCGAUGUCGGAUUAGCUAGUUGGCGGGGUAAAGGCCCACCAAGGCGACGAUCCGUAGCUGGUCUGAGAGGAUGAUCAGCCACACUGGAACUGAGACACGGUCCAGACUCCUACGGGAGGCAGCAGUGGGGAAUAUUGGACAAUGGGCGCAAGCCUGAUCCAGCCAUACCGCGUGGGUGAAGAAGGCCUUCGGGUUGUAAAGCCCUUUUGUUGGGAAAGAAAAGCAGCAGGUUAAUACCCCGCUGUUCUGACGGUACCCAAAGAAUAAGCACCGGCUAACUUCGUG
rnacentral:rRNA from 1 species